rnacentral:rRNA from 1 species
AUGUUUGUUCAGUGUUUUAUCAGUGGUUAUUGGUUUCCUCUUAAGCAGAUGAACUACAUUGUCACAUUAAACUGCAGGGACAAGUUCCCUCAGUCCUCUCUCGACAAAUCCAACAGUACAGGUUCUCCGGUGCGCCAAGUAUUGCCGGCGGCGAUGCCUGCAUCAUGGCCCAUUGAGGAGACCAUGCACGUCAGUUGUACUUGGUGGUGCAGACUUGGUAGCGGUGAUAUCUUGGUUCGAUUAUAUAUCAACAACAGUGCAAUGACUGAAAGAUCAUCAGUUCAAAAUAUAUAUGCAGGAGGAGGUUCAAAGAUUGUCGUGGACCAAGUUAAAGAGUUCAGUACACUUGCGUCAGUCAUCCAUCAUCUUCUGACAUCUAGUAUCGAAGUCUUUCCCCCCCUCUCGCCGCACACACAGGCCGGGCGGUCGAGCACCUCCUCAAGUGAGAUGCGCGGUGAGGCCCUACCAUCUCCCGCUGAUGGCUUGCCGGCACACCCUGCAGAUUCACCUCUCACCAUGGGCAGAGUCUUCAUGGAUGAACUAGAUCGUCGCCUACAAGCUCUGCUCCAGGUCAUCUCCCUCCUCUGUUGUUUUGCACUAAAAAUAUUGUAG